GUGUCGUUUUCUAUUGCACAGACCAGCAAAAACACUAAUACUCAACCUGAUUCCUAUCGUCCUGCUUUUCACCUUGGUACCCAGCUGUAAACAUCAUGAAGGAUGUGACAGGAGGGCGGCUUCCCUCCUUUAGGAGCUGUAUAUACAUUAAUCACUGAAUCACCAAGCCAUGCUUAAUUGCAAGCUGUAUAUCACACAAAUCCAU
rnacentral:lncRNA from 1 species